GGAAAGUGAUGAGGGGCUCACCAGUGACUUGGCCGGUGUAGAGCUUGAGGUUGGAGGGUGGCCGGUGGUGGCGCUUGGCGGAGCAGUGGCAGGUGCGCCACUUGGGCUCGGGCUCCUACGAGGGUGGCGGCGGUGGUGGGCGGCUGUGGGGCUGGGGAGGGGUAGUGAGAGUCGGGAAGUGUUGGAGGUAUGCCCUAGAGGCAAUCAUAGAGAUGAUGAUAUUACAUUUGUAUCCAUGAUUUGAAUAUUGUGUUCAUUGAAUAUCCAUUAAAGGCUACUUGAAUUGAUUUGCAAUUAUGUGAAUUGUAUGUGAAACUCUUUACUUGUAUGGUUAUUCUAAAGUUGUCCCUAGUCGGAGUUCAUGUGAGGACACACAUGAAUAUUAGACUAGCACAUGUAUUAGUUGAUGACUAUGUUUCACAAGUCAUGGACAUGGAGAUGUUGAACUAAUAAUGUGGAUACAUGUGGAGACAUGUGCUAGGACUGACCCAACAUGAGAAGUAGUUCUCUCUUUAAACAACAUAUACGCUUUGUCCUUAGACCUGAGAUUGUCGCAUGUAUUCUAGAUGUGGAUCGACCUACUUAGGGGCUAUCAAACGCUACGCCGUAACAGGGUAGUUAUAAAGGUAGCUUUCGGGUUUGUCAAGAAGCAUGCUAUGAGACAUGGUCAAUCAAGAUGGGAUUUGCCCCUCUCUGAUUGAGAGUGAUAUCUCUGGGCCCCUCGAGUGAUCGGAUCCGAAAAUGCAUGGCCAUGCUACGUACGGUUAAGAGUUAACCUACAAAGGGAUUCCGAAUCACAGGAUCGAGAAAGAGCGGUCGGCUUGAAGCUAGACAAAAUAUCGUGAGGCAAAGGGAAUAGCAUAUAUAUAUAUUAUGUUGUGAUGGUUCGUCUGAUGUGAUCUUCGUGUGCGUAUAGGAGUUGGCACGUCUUGCUAGAGGCCGCUACCGACUAUUGGGCCGAGUAGGAGUACUCGGGCCAUGUCUAUACGUAUCCGAACCCAUAGGGUCACACACUUAAGGGGCUGGAAGCCCAAUUCGGAUCUGAUCCGAGUUGGAUUAGGUUUAGAAGUACUAAUGGGCCUCGAACCCAGAGGCCCGUUAGGAACCUCUAUAAAUAGAGGGGUGGGGGCGCCCUAGGGUUUACACCUUUUGGCGAAACACAUCUGCCGCGCCUCCCACGCUCUCGCCUGUUGCAACUCACGGAUCUAGCAGUCCGGCUUGUGAUGCUUUCUCCCUGCACGUGUGGAUACCUUGGAGGUGUUGCGCCUACAGCACUUGGACGAGCCGCCGACGAGCCACGACGAGCCGCCGACGAGCCACGACGAGCCGCGGCACGAGGGCGAUCUUGCUGCACGUGGACGAGCUGCUGAGGAGCUGCUGGACAUUGAGUGAUCGACUACGUACGACUACGUUGAUCGACUACGUACGACUACGUUAAUCGUCUUCACUGCGUCAACGCAAAUCUACAUCUUCCGCACCAGUAGUGCGUCGAGUGGUAAUCCCGUGAUCCUUAUACGGCAGUUCUUCCUAGUUUUACGCGGUAGAAAUUUUGAUUUGCGCUAGUGUAGCCUACCUCGUAACCCUACAGUGGUAUCAUGAGCCGUAGCUGUUUAGUUUUGGAUUCGGGAUGUGUGCAUAUGGAGAUAUGCGAGUUUUCAGUUUGAUCUAUAUCCUGGUUUCGUGUUCUUGCUGCAAUGGUAGUGUAACGACAUACUCCUACCGGUCGGUUUCCGCCAUCGGAGUUAAGUGAUACAUGUAAUUCUAGUUGCAGUGAGCGAAGAUCAAUAUGAUUGGUCGAAUCAAAAUCCAGGGUCAUACGCCAGGCGCAUUAGAUGUGCAAUAGUAGAUGAGAUCUACUACCAGGGUCGGGAUUUUUGCCGUAUGUGUUUGCUUCGGUAAAUCAGCCGUAACUUUUCGAUACAAUUUCGGAUCGGGGCGAAUUUUAUAUGAAAAUUGAUCUACAGAAAAAGUUACACAUGAAAUUCAACCGCUUUGCCGUUUUCGGUGAAAUUAUAUUUCCCAAAUUCGGCUUGGAAGAUGGAGUUUCGGGCAUCCGAAGUUUGGAACGUUAGAACGCCUAACUCUAUUUUGCAGGAUGUAUGUAUAUAUCUUGUGAUCAGUAUGGCCCCUUUGUGUAUAUGAUGCAUGUGUGUAACUCAUUCGUGACCUGCGUGUCGCGCGUACGGCAACACGGCAGGAGUCAUAUGUGUUGUCACUUUAUUGUAUUUAAUGGUCUGCGUACCAAUCUGUGAUGAUCCAAGCAACUAUGUAAUCUUCAUUACUAGCUUCUUUACUAGCUAUUAGGCGUAAUAGCAUGUUCUAGUUCUUGGAGGACUCAUCACCAGGAGGAUGGCGCACAUGGAACAUGGAGAUGGAGAUCACCAUGGUGAAUAGAUUCUAUGGAGAUGGAGAUCACCAUAAGAAAAACGGGUCAUACUGUGUCACAACUGUGUGAAUGCUAUUCUAUUUAUGUUUUACUUUCUGCAUGCUGUGAUGUUAGAAGUAGAACGAUCCCUCACAAAGUUUAAGUUAGUAUGCCCUCCCAACUAAAACUUGCACCGUCACAUGUCUUGUACAAUUAGUGGUGGGUCUAUGAAAUUAGGGUACCACUAGUUUUCCUUGACUAAACGGGUUUGUGUCGGACACUUACGCGCAUAAGGGUUGGUUUGCUUAACAAGGUUAUCUUAACGGUUAAGGACCUUGGGGCAUAAAGGUUGGAUGCCGAGACAUAGAGAUGUCACCCAACAACAGGAGUCAUAUGUGAUAUGAUUAGCAAAAGUUGCUUACCGAUCUACCUUGUUUGCUAGCGGUGAUGCUAAAGCUCACUAGUAGACUUGUUAGUUGUGGAUCCUGAAUCACUAAGUUUCAAUAGAGGGAUAUUGAUUUUAGUGGGAGUAGAUUCUAUUAAAAUAGUUUAAUGUGAUUUGCUCUAUCAUGGAUACGUUUGUCUUAGUGUAUUUUGCAUUACUUUGUUGUAGAUUAAAUGGCACCUAGCAGCACUACACCGUUUGCUUUGCGUUCGGUCCCUUAAAAGGACAAGUUGAAUGGAACAAAUUACUCGGAUUGGAUCCGUAACCUGAGAAUUGUUCUCAGGGCUGAGAAAAAGGAAGAUGUUCUAGACAGCCCACUACCAGAAGAACCUGCUGAUGAUGCACCCGCUGCUGCUAAGAAUGCUUACAAGAAAGCAUGAGAUGGUAACCUCGAAGUAAGCUGUCUUAUGCUUGCUUGCAUGGAACCCGAGCUGCAGAUGCAGUUCAAAACAAACCAUGAGGCGCACGAUAUGAUCGUGGCACUUAGAGACAUGUUUCAAACACAGGCCAGGACUGAAAGGUUCAAUGUGUCUAAGACCUUUGUGGAGAGCAAGCUUGCAGAAGGCGCAGCAGUAGGACCACACGUAAUCAAGAUGGUUGGUUACACUCAACGGUUGGAGAAGCUGGGCUUCCCACUGGGCCAAGAGUUGGCCACUGAUUUCAUUCUUUCGUCUCUUCCGCCUAGCUAUGGGAACUUCAUCUCGAACUACCAUAUGCAUAGGACGGAGAAGGGUCUGAAUGAGCUGUGUGGCAUGCUUAAAACAGCAGAGGCUGACAUCAAGAAAAGCGCUAGUACCAGCCAUGUGAUGGCUAUACAGAACAAGCCUAGCUUUAAGAAGAAGGGCAAUUCUUGGAAGAAGAAGGGCAAGGCUGGAACGUCCAAGCCAAACCCAACGCCCAAGGUUAAAGCUGGACCUGGACCUGCUCCAGACAAAGAGUGUUUUUACUAUCAUGAACUUGGUCACUGGAAGAGAAACUGCAAGCAGUACCUAGCUUCCUUGAAGAAUGGCGGAAGUAAGAGUACUUCUACCUCAGGUACGCUUGUUGUUAAUGUUAUAGACAACAUUUUUCUUGCUGAUACAAUUAUUAAUUCUUAGGUAUUUGAUACCGGAUCGGUUGCUCAUAUUUGCAAUUCGAUGCAGGGAAUGAUAAGAAGUAGAAGCGUGGAAAGAGGAGAAGUUGAUUUCCGCGUGGGCAAUAAUGCAAGAGUUGCUGCGUUGACCGUCGGGACGAUGCAACUCCACCUCCCGUCAGGAUUUAUUAUGGAGUUGCAUAAUUGUUAUUUCGUUCCUAGUUUAAGUCGAAACAUUUUGUCUCUUUCAUGCUUGAUGAAGGAUGGUUAUUCAUUUGUGAGUGAAAACAAUGGUUGUGUGAUCUCUAAGAAUGAUAUGUUUAUGGCUUUUGCACCCAUUGUGAAUGGAUUAUUUGUUUUAAAUCUUGAUGGUUCACCUGUCUGUAACGUAAGUGCUAAAAGGCCUCGGCCUAAUGAUUUGAGUCCUACCUACUUGUGGCAUUGUUGUUUGGGUCAUAUAAGUGAAAAGCGCAUGAAGAAGCUCCAUUCUGAUGGACUUCUAACUUCGUUUGAUUUUGAAUCAUACGAGACAUGUGAGGCUUGCUUGCUAGGCAAGAUGACCAAGACGCCUUUCACAGGAUUUCCUGAGAGAGUAGUAGACUUGUUGGAACUCGUACAUAGUGAUGUAUGCGGACCAAUGAGGACGACGGCUAGAAGAGGAUUCCAAUACUUCAUAACUUUCACUGAUGAUUUUAGUAGAUAUGGCUAUGUCUACUUGAUGAGGCACAAGUCUGAAACCUUUGAAAAGUUCAAGGAAUUUCAGAAUGAAGUUGAAAAUCAGCGUGGCAAGAAAAUUAAGGCCUUACGAUUUGAUCGUGGAGGCGAGUAUUUGAGCCACGAGUUUAGCAAUCAUCUAAAGAGUUGCGGAAUUGUUCCACAACUUACGCCGCCUGGAACACCUCAGAGAAACGGUGUAUCCGAGCGACGUAAUCGAACUUUGUUAGACAUGGUUCGAUCAAUGAUGAGCCAGUCGGACCUACCGUUGUCAUUUUGGGGAUACGCUCUAGAAACAACAGCUUUCACACUUAAUAGGGUACCAUCUAAGUCCGUAGUCAAGACACCAUAUGAGAUAUGGACUGGAAAGGUUCCUAGUUUGUCUUUUCUAAAGAUUUGGGGAUGUGAAGUGUUUGUCAAGCGACUUCAGUCGGACAAGAUCACACCCAAGUCCGAUAAGUGCAUUUUCGUGGGAUAUCCAAAGGAAACUUUGGGAUAUUAUUUGUACAACCGAGAAAGAGUUUCUCAAAGGAGAAAAGAGUGGAAAGACAGUGCAUCUUGAAGAAGUUCAAGAUGAGCCGAUCGGGCAAGAAUCAAUGAGUGAUGCUUACGUAGCAGAACAAGUUGAUAUACCCAUGGCAAGAGAAGCACCGCCACAACCACGAAGGUCAGCAAGGCUCCGCGAAAUGCGGGAAAUAUUAUUGUUGGACAAUGAUGAGCCUGCGACAUAUGCAGAAGCAAUGAUGGACCCAGACUUCGAAAAAAGGCAGAGUGCCAUGCAAUCCGAAAUAGAGUCCAUGGGAGACAAUCAAGUUUGGAACUUGGUUGACCCGCCUGAUGGUGUUAAAGCCAUAGAGUGCAAGUGGAUCUAUAAGAACAAAAAGGACAUGGAUGGAAAUGUUCACAUCUAUAAAACACGACUUGUUGCAAAAGGUUUUCGACAAGUUCAAGGAGUUGACUACGACGAGACCUUCUCGCCCGUAGUGAUGCUUAAGUCCAUUCGGAUUAUUCUAGCUAUAGCUGCAUAUUUCGAUUAUGAGAUAUGGCGGAUGGAUGUCAUGACAGCUUUCCUGAAUGGAAACCUAGCUGAGGACGUGUAUAUGAUACAGCCCGAGGGUUUUGUCGAUCCGAAAAAUGCUGGAAAGGUAUGCAAGCUUCAGAGAUCCAUUUAUGGAUUGAAGCAAGCAUCUAGGAGUUGGAACAUUUCUGAUGCGUUGACAAAACCACUCCCGCAGGCUAAGCAUGAUGCGCAUGUAAGAGCUAUGGGUAUUAGGUACCUUCUAGAUUGACUCUAGUGCAAGUGGAAGACUGUUGGAGGUAUGCCCUAGAGGCAAUCAUAGAGAUGAUGAUAUUACAUUUGUAUCCAUGAUUUGAAUAUUGUGUUCAUUGAAUAUCCAUUAAAGGCUACUUGAAUUGAUUUGCAAUUAUGUGAAUUGUAUGUGAAACUCUUUACUUGUAUGGUUAUUCUAAAGUUGUCCCUAGUCGGAGUUCAUGUGAGGACACACAUGAAUAUUAGACUAGCACAUGUAUUAGUUGAUGACUAUGUUUCACAAGUCAUGGACAUGGAGAUGUUGAACUAAUAAUGUGGACACAUGUGGAGAUAUGUGCUAGGACUGACCCAACACGAGAAGUAGUUCUCUCUUUAAACAACAUAUACGCUUUGUC
rnacentral:lncRNA from 1 species